rnacentral:lncRNA from 1 species
CUUCCCUUACAAAAGUAAUUGGUGUGCUAAAAAUAGCUGUCAUAUUGUCAUCAUAUAUACUUUCCACAUCCAUGAUAUGUGUAAUUCAAUUUACUUACUGCUAAUGAAAUACAGUUAGUAUAAGUGACAUUCAUUCAAAUUUAUAGCUAAAUUUUACUGAUAAAUAUCAAACUGAGACCGUAUUAAAUAUCAACUUUCAAAUUAGUGCUAUUCUAUUAAAAAGAAAUGCUAUAGUAACUAAUAUAUAUCAGAGAUAUAACAAGGCAUCUCAAACUACAGCUCAUACUAAAAGUUAAUCAUUUGUCAUUUACACAAGUAUAAGC